AGCAUCCAUAAAGUAGCAUGCCAUGGGACCUUUAAACUGCGUCAUGGAAAUGGGCUAUUUCUAGAUGGACUGCCCUACCAGACCGACAGGUAAAGAUUACUCCAUAAUGCUUUAAAAGGCCUCGUCCCCUCUUAUGUCUAUUGGCCUGAAGUAAUCAACACCAACAUAAUGUCUUUAGGCAAGUCAAACAUUUUCUGAUUACCCAGAGCCGAUUAGAGACGUCUGUAUGUUACACAAUGUGAUAUGAUGAUGCAAGGGAGUUUGCACAGGGGAUCCAAUAUCUUUGCUGCAGCUGAGACGUCAUGUCGUUUUUCCACUGUGUCCUACUUGUUGACGGAUGUUUUUGAGUAACAAUGUGAUGGUCUUUCGGCAAGAUUGCUUGAUACUUGGUCUCCUCUGGCAUGGACAAUAGGCUUAACCUUCCGUCCUAGGUCUGACCUAAGCUUGAACUUUUCUUCUUGACAAAUAAUUGACAUUGCUAUUAGAGGUAAAUUGGGCAACUCUUGUUCUGCCCAUUGCUGAAAGACUGAGCCAUUUCUCCAGCAAUGACAACCUUGGAGAGGUUCAGCAGUUUGACCACGUGACGCUGAAUCAGCUGGAUAAUCCUUGGUGUUGAUUUAUAACCACUGCUUGACAUCUGAUACUUCCCUGACGGCACUGUAUCGAUUGACAAUGAAUGUCUCUGAAUCAUUUGGUUUCAUUCUUGAUGUACUUUAAGUAAGUACUGUCAGUCUAGAAUCCUGAACUGUCUAGUUAAAUCUGUAGCUCUUUGGCUAACAUUCAUAGAGGUACAGAUGGAAUUCCCAAUCAUCUGACUGAUGUCAGUUUUUCUCAGAACAGGUGCUUUUCCAGAGUACCACAACCUGGAGUAGGUUUGACUCAGGUUUAGUUUGACUCAUCACCGAAACUGAGGCACCCGUGUCCACCUCCAUUGACAGCUCUAUUCCAUUUAUUUUCAGCGUUAGCCUGAUCGGGUCUGCCCGGGGUUCACUGAGGAAUUUGAAUAAAUGAACAUCGCAAAACUC